rnacentral:siRNA from 1 species
GGCAGAGUGGCCUUGCUG